rnacentral:misc_RNA from 1 species
GCAAACUUGGUCAUUUAGAGGAAGUAAAAGUCGUAACAAGGUUUUCGUAGGUGAACCUGCGGAAGGAUCAUUACAGAAGUUCGGGGAGUGCUGGCCACCGCGCAUGUGCACCCCUUUCCCUUCACCUUACACACCUGUGCACUUCUCGAGGCGGGUCUUCCCAUGCAUGGAGCCGGCAGAGGUCAAAAUGACCUGUGCCCGAAGACCUGUCUACACUUCCACGAACGCUGUACUUGACCUGGAACGUAGUCGCGGCCCUGCCGCGAUCAAUACACAACUUUCAACAACGGAUCUCUUGGUUCUCGCAUCGAUGAAGAACGCAGC